AAAAUUCCAAGGAUGUGAAAAUGACCUUUUAUUUCAGUAAAUUAUUACUAUUUUUUUGAACAGCAUGAUACUAUUUUUACAAAGCAUCGUCGUAAAACAUAUUUGUUCUUACCAGAAAAUAAUUAUAAUAGGGGCAAUUCUUUAUAUACCUCUGAAAAAUUCUCGACUUUCUAAUUUACUCAUCUUAGAAGGAUAAUAUUAAAAUUUUCUUUUUUACGUUUCCAGUUAUUUCAAAUAUAUUCCUAAAGUUAAAUUUUGUUAGCAGCAAUAAUCAUUAUCUAUGCAAAAUUACUAUUUUGCCCUUUCUGAUGUACCCUUCUAUUACCGCAAACUUUUUUUAUUUGCCUUUCAGCUAGGGGCAAAAAAAAUAUUUUGAUUUUUUAUUUUUGAUUUUUUCAAAUAUAUCAUUUUAUUAUCACUAAUUUUUCUUAUUUGUCCUUGAGUUAAGAGCAAAAAGGAGGUAUUUUAAUUUUUUAAACUUUUUUAGAUAUUUAACUCACGUUUAAUCCAAGAUAGCUUAACAUGUGAUAACCGUAGAGAUAUUUUUGAAUAGCGCAGGUACAUACGAGGAGUAUAUUGAAAUAAAAAAAAAAGUAAGAAUAAAUUAGAUAUUUAUGAAAUUUUGAUAAGUAUAUAGGCAAUUAUCCCCCAACAAUAAUACAUCCGUUCAUGUGCAACAAAAAUUAUUAUAAAUAAAUU
rnacentral:lncRNA from 1 species